rnacentral:misc_RNA from 1 species
AAGUCGUAACAAGGUCUCCGUUGGUGAACCAGCGGAGGGAUCAUUAAAGAGUUUACACAACUCCUAAACCCAUGUGAACUUACCUUUUGUUGCCUCGGCAGGUCGCGUUUACCCUGUGAGGGCCUACCCUGUAGGCUCUUACCUGGUGGACGCGGGCUCCCCUGCCGGCGGCCCGUUAAAUUCUGUUUAUUAUAUUAUUUCUGAAUCUAUAACUAAAUAAGUUAAAACUUUCAACAACGGAUCUCUUGGUUCUG